rnacentral:rRNA from 1 species
UGGCCUUGACAUAGAUAGAAUAUAGCAGAGAUGUAAUAGUGCUGGUUUACCAGAGCUAUCAUAC